rfam:Callipepla squamata strain Texas jcf7180005234655, whole genome shotgun sequence.
UUGGCAGUCCCCAGCUCUGAGAACUGAAUUCCAUGGACUGGUUUCAAUUCCAUGUGUUCAGUCCAUGGUAUUCAGUUCUCUAGCUUGGCUGCAUCAA